UACAGAGGUCUCAAGCGUUGUUCGGAUUCAUUGGGCGUAAAGGGCGCGUAGGCGGUGCCACAAGUCACCUGUGAAAUCUCCGGGCUUAACUCGGAGCCUGCAGGCGAAACUGUGGUGCUGGAGUGUGGGAGAGGUGCGUGGAAUUCCCGGUGUAGCGGUGAAAUGCGUAGAUAUCAGGAGGAACACCUGUGGCGAAAGCGGCGCACUGGACCAUAACUGACGCUGAUGCGCGAAAGCUAGGGGAGCAAACAGG
rnacentral:rRNA from 1 species